AAAAAAGAUAGGUCACCGAUGAGUUGAAAAAGAUAUUUCAAUUUUAGAGCCAAAAAAAUGGCAUUUUUCCACCAAAGGGAGAUAAUUUGGAACUUUUUCAAUGAUGUAUACAUUUUGAAAGUCAUCUAGGGCCAACACGAAUUGAUUGUUUUGAAUGAUUUUUGUACCAUAUGAUAAAGUAACAACUACAAAAGGAAAUAAAUAAAAUUUGUAAUGAAAAACAAAUGUUUGAUUUUUUUUCUGAAAUUUUUAUACCCUCGAGCCUCCUUAAUUA
rnacentral:lncRNA from 1 species